rnacentral:rRNA from 1 species
AAUCAACGCUGGCGGCGUGCCUCAGACAUGCAAGUCGAACGAUUAAAGCUCUCUUCGGAGAGUGCAUAGAGUGGCGCACGGGUGAGUAACACGUAAGUAAUCUACCCUCGAGUGGGGAAUAACGUCCGGAAACGGACGCUAAUACCGCAUAAUGCAGCGGCACCGCAAGGGGACAGUUGGUAAAGAUUUAUCGCUUGAGGAGGAGCUUGCGGCAGAUUAGCUAGUUGGUAAGGUAAUGGCUUACCAAGGCUACGAUCUGUAACCGGUCUAAGAGGACGGUCGGUCACACUGACACUGAAUAACGGGUCAGACUCCUACGGGAGGCAGCAGUCGGGAAUUUUGGGCAAUGGGCGAAAGCCUGACCCAGCAACGCCGCGUGAAGGAUGAAGUAUUUCGGUAUGUAAACUUCGAAAGAAUAGGAAGAAUUAAUGACGGUACUAUUUAUAAGGUCCGGCUAACUACGUGCCAGCCGCCGCCGUAAAAC